UCCGAGUUGACCCCGGCAGUCUCCCACGAGUCCCCACCAUCACGUGCUGGCAACAUAGGAUAAGGGUUGCGCUCGUUGCGGGACUUAACCCAACAUCUCACGACACGAGCUGACGACAGCCAUGCACCACCUGCACACCGGCCACAAGGGAAACCCCAUCUCUGAGGCGAUCCGGUCCAUGUCAAGCCUUGGUAAGGUUCUUCGCGUUGCAUCGAAUUAAACCACAUGCUCCACCGCUUGUGCGGGCCCCCGUCAAUUCCUUUGAGUUUCAGUCUUGCGGCCGUACUCCCCAGGCGGGGCGCUUAAUGCGUUAGCUACGGCACAGACAGUUUUCACACUGCCUACACCUAGUGCUCAUCGUUUACAGCGUGGAUUAC
rnacentral:misc_RNA from 1 species